rnacentral:rRNA from 1 species
AUUGAACGCUGGCGGCAUGCCUUACACAUGCAAGUCGAACGGUAACAGGUCUUCGGAUGCUGACGAGUGGCGAACGGGUGAGUAAUACAUCGGAACGUGCCCGAGAGUGGGGGAUAACGCAGCGAAAGCUGUGCUAAUACCGCAUACGAUCUACGGAUGAAAGCAGGGGAUUCGCAAGGACCUUGCGCUCAUGGAGCGGCCGAUGGCAGAUUAGGUAGUUGGUGGGAUAAAAGCUUACCAAGCCGACGAUCUGUAGCUGGUCUGAGAGGACGACCAGCCACACUGGGACUGAGACACGGCCCAGACUCCUACGGGAGGCAGCAGUGGGGAAUUUUGGACAAUGGGGGAAACCCUGAUCCAGCCAUGCCGCGUGCAGGAUGAAGGCCUUCGGGUUGUAAACUGCUUUUGUACGGAACGAAAGGGCUCUCUCUAAUACAGGGGCAUAUGACGGUACCGUAAGAAUAAGCACCGGCUAACUACGUGCC